UCACGUGGCAGCUGCGACAGCAGCGUCUCUGUGAGGAGGCGCAGAGCCAUGACGUCAGCAUCCACCAAGGUCGGAAAGAUAUUCUCUGCAUCUGGCGCAGCCUUCAUUAAGCUGGAGGAUCUGAUGAUGCAGCUGCAUCCGGUGGCUGACCGGGGGUGCGAAGUGGACCGAGACGGAAAUAGAGAUGCUGAGGGCUGCUGUGAAGCGAUUUGGGGACGAUCUUAAUCAUAUCAGCUGUGUCAUCAAGGAACGAAUAGUGGCUCAGAUAAAGGCCACAGUGAAGCGCAAGGUAUAUGAAGACUCUGGCAUCCCCCUUCCUGAUGAGUCACGCAAGAAAGGGCCCAAGAAGUUGGCAUCUGGUGUUUUGUCACCUCCUCCAGCAGGCCCUCCACCCAGCAGUUCCAUUGUCCCUGAGGCCGGGGAACCCCCAUAAAGAAGCAGAAGGCUGAUGUGACUCUCAGUGCUCUGAACGACUCCGAUGCCAACCGUGACCUAGUGGAUAUUGAGGGGUUAGGAGAAACUCCGCCAGCCAAGAAACUCAACUUUGACCAGGCCUGACCCUGGAUUCUGGCCUUCUUAUGACCUCUGCUGA